UUUGAUCCCAGCAAACACAUGACGUUAAAAUAACGUCGGAUUAAUGUUAGAUUUUGGUCACGACGUCGGCGACCAAAAUACGACGUAAAUCUGACGUUAAAAUACCGAUGUCUAAUAGACGUUUCUUUUUGACGUCGUACUAACGUCAGGUUCUGGUCGGUGUCCUGACGGUAGGUAAAAAAAUAACAAAAAAUAAUCCUUAUUCGCUGUUGUAAUCAUUUAAACUUUUUUUCAAAUGUUAUUUGGAUUACAAAUGAAGUGUUCUUAUAUAAAUACAGACCAAGAUCGCGGCGCUGCAACCUAAUAAAACAUAUAGGUGGCGCUGUAUAUAGGCAAGUUACAUGUGUUAUUGUUAUGAAAUCUAUUUAUAGCCACAGAUCUGUUUACAAGUUCCAAUCAUUUAACGUUAUAAUAUUAUCAUUUGCGGUACAUUAUAUGUAUCAAAAUCACGAGGUUUUUAAUGGUGCUUUAACAUUUAAUCAUAGUGACAGAAAAGGGAAAUAAAACAUAAUUAACCUAUAAUUCGAAUCUAAAGUCACGUGGAUGGAAAUUCAAAUUCGUAGGCGUUACGUUUUGGCUGUCGGUCAGGAAUCGGGAUGCAUUGAUAAAGUGAAUAUUAUAGAUUUUCUUGAACAAAAAGGUAGUUAAAGUGUUGGACUAGCUCUCAAAGGUCGGAGGGACGGAAACACGUGAAUAUGUAAAAAGAAACAUAUGAAAUGAAAAUGAUGUCACACACGCUAUUGGACGCUACAAAUGCUACAUAUCCUCCGGACAGACGAGGGGUGCUGAAAGAAGGUCAUAUCUUAAAGCAUCACACCUCAAAAUUCGUGCUAAUUCUCAUGGAUAUCUAAAAGUAUAACUUUGUGAAGUAACUAAAAGGCAGCAAUUUAUACAUUACUGACAAUUAUCAAAGGAGGUCAAAAUAUGCAAAAUGGCACUAAAUGUUUUAGAAAUGCUGUAGAAAUAUAGUUAAAAUACUGAAAAUCUUUCAUUAAUUGUUUGA